UACAGAGGUCCCAAGCGUUGUUCGGAUUCAUUGGGCGUAAAGGGCGCGUAGGCGGCGCGGUAAGUCGGGUGUGAAAUCUCGGAGCUUAACUCCGAAACUGCAUUCGAUACUGCCGUGCUUGAGGACCGGAGAGGAGACUGGAAUUUACGGUGUAGCGGUGAAAUGCGUAGAUAUCGUAAGGAAGACCAGUGGCGAAGGCGAGUCUCUGGACAGUUCCUGACGCUGAGGCACGAAGGCCAGGGGAGCAAACGGG
rnacentral:rRNA from 1 species